UACGUAGGGUGCAAGCGUUGUCCGGAAUUAUUGGGCGUAAAGAGCUCGUAGGCGGUCUGUCACGUCGGACGUGAAAAUCCAGGGCUCAACCCUGGACCUGCGUUCGAUACGGGCAGACUAGAGUUCGGUAGGGGAGACUGGAAUUCCUGGUGUAGCGGUGGAAUGCGUAGAGAUCCGGAAGAACACCGGUGGCGAAGGCGGCCUGCUGGGCAGUGGCUGACACUGAGGCGCGACAGCGUGGGGAGCAAACAGG
rnacentral:rRNA from 1 species